GUUAGCUCAGUGGAUUGAGAGCAACUGGCUUCGAACCAUUAGGUCGGAGGUUCGAUCCCUCC
rnacentral:tRNA from 1 species